UGAGGUGUAAUUUCCCUUGGGAGUGCUGGCUCCCGCUUACGGGAACCGAAGCUUUGGAAUGCAAUUUUUCCUGGUGGAGGUGAUUGGAUUUACGGGAACUAGCAUUGAUAUGGGGGAACUCCCAGGAACCUCCUGGCUGUCUGCUGCUGUUUGGGAUAAUGUGGGAGUUAAGCCCUAUGAUUUAGCUACUACGGGACAUGAACCGGCAAUGCGCAUGCUUCUGUCUUGGAGGGUGAUUUUUGAGACAUUAAAAAAGCAAGAGCAGUCUCAGGCUGUGUCUUCUGCAGAUGCUGCCGGCCCCCUGCUCCACUGACUCUCCCUGCCUGCUUGAAACUGGUGCCCCUGAUACUGAAGAGCAACCACAGCUAUCAACCCCUCCUCCACUCAGUCAAAGGAGGAGAAGGCAUCCAGCCUUAUAGUCGUUAGCAGCCUAUAUUGCUGACUGCAGCUCCAGCAGUGAGGAGGAGGGGUCUCCUUCAACCCAGGACAAGUAGAUCCAGAUGCUAAGCCUGACCUAUUCCCUCCUCACCCGCACGAAAACUGGAUGCAAUUAAAGGAAAAGGCUCCCAAGUAAAGGGGAUUUUGAUAUCACAGCAAAAAUAAUCAUGCCAGUCGUUUCACGGUGCCAGGGGAAGCAACCCACAGUGGGAACUACACUGCACAGCAAUAGAUAUGGCUGGGAUCUCUCUAUUUUGCUAAUCUUUUAUGGUAUAUAUUGUCAACUCAUGACCCCUCAUGAUUUAAAGGGACUGGUGAACUUAUUAUUAACCCAAAUUCAGUAUGCCAUUUUUGAUGCUCAGUUGAAAAAAGGGGUUAGAAGCUUUGCUUGUGCAAUUUGUGGGGCAUGCAAACCAGAGCGGACAGCAGCAAGCCUCAGAGCAGCUACCACAAGCAGCAUUUGCCAGACCAUCGCCUAUUUACAACCCGCCACACCAGGAAGCACUGGACUGGACCUGACAACCUCCCACACAGUAACAUUGCUUAAUUCAUCUGUUCAUUUGCUUCCCACAGGAGUUUUCAGACCACCAGGGCAAGGGGGACACUCUCUUGCCUGUCAGAACGAGGAGGAGAGAGGUUUUUUCUCUGCAGUCGGAUCUGCCCUGCAGCCCGGCCCUGCUGCAGCCUCCUGCUUCUGAGAACAGCGAUGAGAACCGGGACCCAAACGGUGAGCAGAGACUUCCUUCACCCUCUUCCCACCUGGGACACAGCCCUGUCGUCUCCACCUCCGCUGCUGCUGCUGCCACGGCUGCGAGGGGCCCGCCCCACUCUCCACCAGGACAGUGCGGAGAAGAGUGCCCGUGACUGGAA